rnacentral:rRNA from 1 species
CUCAACGGACAAAAGCUACCCCGGGGAUAACAGGCUUAUCUUGCCCAAGAGUUCACAUCGACGGCAAGGUUUGGCACCUCGAUGUCGGCUCGUCGCAUCCUGGGGCUGGAGUAGGUCCCAAGGGUUGGGCUGUUCGCCCAUUAAAGCGGUACGCGAGCUGGGUUUAGAACGUCGUGAGACAGUUCGGUCCCUAUCCGUUGUGGGCGCAGGAGACUUGAGAGGAGUUACCCUCAGUACGAGAGGACCGGGGUGAACGGACCUCUGGUGUCCCGGUUGUCAUGCCAAUGGCAGUGCCGGGUAGCUAUGUUCGGACGGGAUAAGUGCUGAAAGCAUCUAAGUACGAAGCCCACCUCAAGACAAGGUCUCCCACUGGGUUAACCAGGUAAGACCCCAGCGAGACUAGCUGGUUGAUAGGCCGCAGGUGUAAGACGGGCAACCGUUUCAGCUGAGCGGUACUAAUAGGUCGAGGGCUUGACCAUCUA